CCUACGGGGGGCAGCAGUGGGGAAUAUUGCACAAUGGGGGAAACCCUGAUGCAGCGACGCCGCGUGAAGGAAAAAGUAUUUCGGUAUGUAAAGCUCUAUCAGCAGGGACGAAAAAAGACGGUACCUGACUAAGAAGCCCCGGCUAACUACGUGCCAGCAGCCGCGGUAAUACGUAGGGGGCAAGCGUUAUCCGGAUUUACGGGGUGUAACGGGAGCGUAGACGGCAAGGCAAGCCAGAAGUGAAAGGGCAGGGCCCAACCCUGUACAUGCUUUUGGAACUGUGGUGCUGGAGUGCAGGAGAGGUAAGUGGAAUGCCUAGUGUAGCGGUGAAAUGCGUAGAUAUUAGGAGGAACACCAGUGGCGAAGGCGGCUUACUGGACUGUAACUGACGUUGAGGCUCGAAAGCGUGGGGAGCAAACAGGAUUAGAUACCCGAGUAGUC
rnacentral:rRNA from 1 species